rnacentral:rRNA from 1 species
AGUGAACGCUGGCGGUAGGCCUAACACAUGCAAGUCGAACGGCAGCACAGUAAGAGCUUGCUCUUACGGGUGGCGAGUGGCGGACGGGUGAGGAAUACAUCGGAAUCUACUUUUUCGUGGGGGAUAACGUAGGGAAACUUACGCUAAUACCGCAUACUACCUACGGGUGAAAGCAGGGGAUCUUCGGACCUUGCGCGAUUGAAUGAGCCGAUGUCGGAUUAGCUAGUUGGCGGGGUAAAGGCCCACCAAGGCGACGAUCCGUAGCUGGUCUGAGAGGAUGAUCCGCCACACUGGAACUGAGACACGGUCCAGACUCCUACGGGAGGAAGCAGUGGGGAAUAUUGGACAAUGGGCGCAAGCCUGAUCCAGCCAUACCGAGUGGGUGAAGAAGGCCUUCGGGUUGUAAAGCCCUUUUGUUGGGAAAGAAAAGCAGCAGGUUAAUACCCCGCUGUUCUGACGGUACCCAAAGAAUAAGCACCGGCUAACUUCGUG